AGGGAUAACCGCUGAAGGCAUCUAAGCGGGAAGCCUGCCUCGAGAUAAGGCAUCCCAGGGGAUUAAAUCCCCCUGAAGGCACCUGGAAGACUACCAGGUUGAUAGGCUGGAGGUCUAAGUGCGGUAACGCAUUCAGCCGACCAGUACUAAUCUGCCGUGAGCCUUGACCAU
rnacentral:rRNA from 1 species